rnacentral:rRNA from 1 species
AGAGUUUGAUCCUGGCUCAGGAUGAACGCUAGCUACAGGCUUAACACAUGCAAGUCGAGGGGCAGCAUGGUCUUAGCUUGCUAAGGCCGAUGGCGACCGGCGCACGGGUGAGUAACACGUAUCCAACCUGCCGUCUACUCUUGGACAGCCUUCUGAAAGGAAGAUUAAUACAAGAUGGCAUCAUGAGUCCGCAUGUUCACAUGAUUAAAGGUAUUCCGGUAGACGAUGGGGAUGCGUUCCAUUAGAUAGUAGGCGGGGUAACGGCCCACCUAGUCUUCGAUGGAUAGGGGUUCUGAGAGGAAGGUCCCCCACAUUGGAACUGAGACACGGUCCAAACUCCUACGGGAGGCAGCAGUGAGGAAUAUUGGUCAAUGGGCGCAGGCCUGAACCAGCCAAGUAGCGUGAAGGAUGACUGCCCUAUGGGUUGUAAACUUCUUUUAUAAAGGAAUAAAGUCGGGUAUGGAUACCCGUUUGCAUGUACUUUAUGAAUAAGGAUCGGCUAACUCCGUGCCAGCAGCCGCGGUAAUACGGAGGAUCCGAGCGUUAUCCGGAUUUAUUGGGUUUAAAGGGAGCGUAGAUGGAUGUUUAAGUCAGUUGUGAAAGUUUGCGGCUCAACCGUAAAAUUGCAGUUGAUACUGGAUAUCUUGAGUGCAGUUGAGGCAGGCGGAAUUCGUGGUGUAGCGGUGAAAUGCUUAGAUAUCACGAAGAACUCCGAUUGCGAAGGCAGCCUGCUAAGCUGCAACUGACAUUGAGGCUCGAAAGUGUGGGUAUCAAACAGGAUUAGAUACCCUGGUAGUCCACACGGUAAACGAUGAAUACUCGCUGUUUGCGAUAUACAGCAAGCGGCCAAGCGAAAGCGUUAAGUAUUCCACCUGGGGAGUACGCCGGCAACGGUGAAACUCAAAGGAAUUGACGGGGGCCCGCACAAGCGGAGGAACAUGUGGUUUAAUUCGAUGAUACGCGAGGAACCUUACCCGGGCUUAAAUUGCAGAUGAAUUACGGUGAAAGCCGUAAGCCGCAAGGCAUCUGUGAAGGUGCUGCAUGGUUGUCGUCAGCUCGUGCCGUGAGGUGUCGGCUUAAGUGCCAUAACGAGCGCAACCCUUGUUGUCAGUUACUAACAGGUUCCGCUGAGGACUCUGACAAGACUGCCAUCGUAAGAUGUGAGGAAGGUGGGGAUGACGUCAAAUCAGCACGGCCCUUACGUCCGGGGCUACACACGUGUUACAAUGGGGGGUACAGAGGGCCGCUACCACGCGAGUGGAUGCCAAUCCCAAAAACCUCUCUCAGUUCGGACUGGAGUCUGCAACCCGACUCCACGAAGCUGGAUUCGCUAGUAAUCGCGCAUCAGCCACGGCGCGGUGAAUACGUUCCCGGGCCUUGUACACACCGCCCGUCAAGCCAUGGGAGCCGGGGGUACCUGAAGUGCGUAACCGCGAGGAGCGCCCUAGGGUAAAACUGGUGACUGGGGCUAAGUCGUAACAAGGUAGCCGUACCGGAAGGUGCGGCUG